CCUCAUAGAUUCUAUAGAUGAAAACAAAGAUGGCAAGAUCAGCUUUACAGAAUUCCUUUCUCUCAGUGCCAAGUAGAGCAGAGCAAGUUAUACAUUGACUCAAUGAUUUUAUUUUAAUAGUUAUUGUGUAGUAAUAGCAGCCAGUUUAGCUUAGCCAUAGUAUAAAGUUUAUGAUAAAAUAUA